UGGGGAAUAUUGCACAAUGGGCGCAAGCCUGAUGCAGCCAUGCCGCGUGUAUGAAGAAGGCCUUCGGGUUGUAAAGUACUUUCAGCGGGGAGGAAGGUGUUGAGGCUAAUAACCUCAGCAAUUGACGUUACCCGCAGAAGAAGCACCGGCUAACUCCGUGCCAGCAGCCGCGGUAAUACGGAGGGUGCAAGCGUUAAUCGGAAUUACUGGGCGUAAAGCGCACGCAGGCGGGCUGUCAAGUCGGAUGUGAAAUCCCCGGGCUCAACCUGGGAACUGCAUUCGAAACUGGCAGGCUAGAGUCUUGUAGAGGGGGGUAGAAUUCCAGGUGUAGCGGUGAAAUGCGUAGAGAUCUGGAGGAAUACCGGUGGCGAAGGCGGCCCCCUGGACAAAGACUGACGCUCAGGUGCGAAAGCGUGGGGAGCAAACA
rnacentral:rRNA from 1 species